rnacentral:lncRNA from 1 species
AUCUCUCGUGGAAAAAAAGGCAUAUCUACAAUCUUUGAUGGAUAAAAGGCAUUAAUGUUGGAUGAGGACAUUAUUACCAUGCAAAUGCAUCUGUGGAUCAUGCAGAGCUGGGGUUAGCGGUUGAAUAGGAACAGUAGAAUACGGAGAAAAAAAGCAUUCAACAGCCUAACAUAUGGGUCCGAUGAAACCAAAUGAAAUUGGACAGGAACAAAUGUAAAGCCAGGCCCUUAAGUUCUAAAAAAGACAGGAGCAUGACUUAACAGAAGUACGUAUGCAAAGUGUUUGGAGGUUUUAGAGCAAUCUACUAUGAUAUGUCACAAUUUCAAAGGUCACUCUGACCUAAGAUGCUAGAAGAGUCUAAGGACAAGCAACAAGGUCCAGGAUUAAUUAGACCACUUCUAGAAAUAUUUUUAAAAUUUGUUUUGACUCAAUUUCUGAUUGGACAAGUAGUAUAUUUCCACUGUCAGAAACAUUGAAAAGACAGAAAUGUAUGAUAUUCAUUAUUACUCUGCUUGGUAUUCAUCUCUCGUUUUUUUUAUAGAUACUAGUUAAAUUACAUAUAUAUAAAAAUAUGCUAUUUUAGAGCCUGUUUUUCUCCUUAAUAAGAAAUCACAAGCAUUUUCUUAAUGUCACUAAAUUACACUAGAAUUUCAACAGCUACAUUGUGCCAUAAUCUAUUUAAUCAUGAAUAAACAAGUUUUUUCAUGAAUUUUUUGACACACCUUUGAUUUUUUUCUUUUACUGUCCAAUAUACAAAGGUGUUUCCCUGCACCUUUGUCAAAAAUUGGUAUUAUUUUUCAUCUUUGCCAAACUUACAUAUGCAAGAAAGGUUAUUUGCUUUAAUUAGCAUUUAAUUGAUUACCAUGGAAGUUAAACGUUCGUGUGUGUUAUUUGACAAUUUAUAUUUUUUCUUUCAUGAAUUAGCUCUUCCAAUAUUAUGUCCAUUUUUCUAUCACAGUGAGAGUCACUGCACUUUACAGAAACAGACAAAUAAGAAUCCAUUCAAAAGAGAGGAAACCAGGAUCACUUGGAAAAUGGAAGUGAUAUCAUACCAGGGAUUGAAAACAUUUAUCUAGGUUGAUAUAAUGUUUAAGGGAGAACUGAAUUCAUACAUUUAAAAGGCAUUAAUGGGGGUGAGAAAUUAAUUUUAAACUCUGUGGCUCCAUUGGACAGAACUAGAGUCAAUGAAUGAAAUUUCAGAUUAAAUCUCAGGAGGACAUUCAGAAGAGACCCAAAGUAGUGUGUGAUUUUUAGAAUGAGCGAGUUCAUGUGAAAUAAUUUGCAGAUGGAUCAGCCCAUCCCCUUGUUCCAUGUUUCAUGAAUUUAGACAGAAAGUUGGACUUACUGGCCCCACUCCCCACCCCAGACUCCUUUCAAAGCACACAUCCUAUGAAACAGUGUGCAACUCCAUGUGGGAAGAUGGCACACGGAAGCUCUGAAAAAGCAAGCCGAGAACGGCUGAGUGUGGGGAUCCCCUUACCUUAUCAGCAGUGCAUUCAGAAGCCAUUUUUAAAACACGUUAUUUCUGAUGGUGGCAAAUUUCACCAAAUUCGCAUUCAAAGUUGUUUCUUAAAUUCUGGGGAUACAUUCAAUCGUUGGUAUGUACACACACAUACACACAUGCACCCCAACCCACACACACACCCCAAAUUUAAAACUGCCUAUUACUGGCUUCUUUCUUGUAAUGCUUCUCAAGGAGCUGUAAUUUCCUUUGCUUCCCAAUAGGGAAAAUUUGCUCCAUUUCAUAUAUCCUUUUUUUUUUUUUUUUUGCCAUUUUGUUGUUGUUGUUGUUUUGUUUUGUUUUUUUCUUUAGGGCCGCUCCUGUAGCAUAUGGAGGUUCCCAGGCUAGGGGUCAAAUCAGAGCUGUAGCUGCUGGCCUAUGCACAGCCACAGUAAUACAGGAUCCGAACCGCGUCUGCAACCUAUACCACAACUCACAGAAACACUGGAUCCCUAACCCACUGAGCGAGGCAGGGGAUGGAACCCACAUGCUCAUGGAUACUAGUCGGGUUCAUUACUGCUGAGCCACGACGGGAACUCUCCAUAUUUUUUAUAUACUUGCUAUGCUCUCUGUCUUUAAAUGUAAUGACUCAAGAAAAUUACGUUCAUUUUAGUAUCAUAGCACUCCUUGUGUUGGUAAUUUAUGAUAAUGGAUGUCACUGUAGAUUUAGGAGUCAUUUAUAUUGCCCACCUUUUCCUAUUAUUGCUAGAUUAAAUAAAUUCUUCUUGAGUUGAGCUACAUUUUUCAGUUUUCUAGUCUGUACCACUCACUUUCAGUAUAUUUAUAAUCCUUUUAUCUGGUUUUUGUAGUUUCCAAAUGAUGCCUUGGAUAUUUUAAGUUUUGAGCAAUCAAUGCCCUUUUCAAAUUGCCCUUAAGAUUUUUGUAGAAUAAUAUUCUCCAUAAUACAACUUUAAAUUACCUGCCUUUGCCUUUACUAGACUUAAUCCAAGAAGGCUAAUUGAACAUUUAGCGCUUUAAUCAUCCCACACUGUCAAACCUGUCUUCUCAUUACUGAGAAUUUGAAAGGCCAUAAGCUUUAACUGUGUUCCUGACAACGUAACCAGAGUGAAAGCUAGAUAAUACAAUUAGUAUAUAACUACGGGAUUAAUCCUGGUCUUUAUUAAUAGCUAUGCAAAAAUAUUAUUUCAACAAACAUGCAUUGAAUAUAACCAAAUACAUGGGCUUUGGAGAAUAAAGAGCUAGGUAGGCUAUAGUAUUUAUCUUUAUGGAGUUUACCGAGUUAGAAGGAUAGAUCAAAAUUUUAAAUAACUACAAGAUGGCCCAGAAUAAGAUAAAAAACACAAGAAUGAUGCAAACAAAAAUAUCAUAUGUUAUUACAGAAGUAUAAGAAGUAAAAGGAAAGAAUGAUUCAUAUAUAAAACUCAUCAUUACAUUAUAUGCGCAAGUAAUGUUCACAUACACGUAUAGGUUGAUUCAAACUCUCCGAUGACACAGCGCAUGUUAGAUCUCAGGAAGUGCAUCUUGAGUUUCUAUUAGCAAUGCCUUAUAGAAGUGGUUCAUACAGGAGAUCGACACUGAGACAUAAAGACGCUUUCAUCUAAAACAAGAUGAGGCUUCCCGACUGCAACGUCUUGCAGAAGAGCAAUGUUUAUUUGAAAAUGGAGGGAUUAUUUUUGAAAAAUGAGAUAAAAAUGUCCAUGAUUCAGUAAAAUGUGAAUAUCUUCUCUGUUGUUUUUCUCUGUAAUCUGCUAGGGGACCCCCAGUGAGGGCUCUGGUACUGUUUUUAAAUGCACUCAUUGAACAAAUAGCACCUCUAAAAGACAUUGCAAAGUAAGGUGUGAAUCUAAAUAGCAUAGGAUGUGGAACCAAUGUAGGUGUAAAUAUGGAUCCAUUUUAUCCCUCUUAUCCAUGUAGAUCAAUUAGUCUUCCAUUAUUAUUCUCUAUGUGCAUUCACUCUCAGCUUUAGGAGUUACCGUGAAUAUGAAUUACCCUGAUUAUGCUUUUUCCUAGGAUAGUUUUAUGUAUACUUAUCUACUGAGCUUGAAUGAAAAUUUUCUAAUGUAAUGAUAGCUAUAUGCAUCUAACUGAAGACUUAAGCAGGGUUAAGACACAGACUGGGAAAGCAAAAAUCAUAAUAUGGAUCUGCCUUGAUUUUUACCUAUUGACUACAACUUCCAAAGAAAAUCUAAUAAAGGUACCACACUUUUUCAUGUGAUCAAAUAGAUUUCAUGACCUAAAUAACCUACUUAUGUCUCUCUGGAAUUGACUUAUUCCAGGAAAAAUUACUGUCUUGUGUGGUAGGUGAGGGACCCUGAGUGGGGAAUAAGGGUAAAUGGAGAGGAGAGAGGUAGUUGCAAGAUCAUAAAUUAAUAAUCUUCCAUGUCUCUUCUCAAUCUCUGUGGGAAUCUUACUUCUUUCCUAAUAGUUCUUUUCUCCAUUUUAUAUUCAGCUGAAUGGGCUACCCAGCUUUCAUGAGUUACGGUCAUUGAGUCCACACACACAAAAAGAUCUGCAUAUAUUUGGUCAAUUUAUUUUCAUAGAGAUGCCAAAGUAAUCCAAUGGAAAAAAGAAUAGUCUUUUAAACAUAUGGUGAAACAACUGGAUAUCUACAUGGAAAAAAUGAACUCAAUUUUUCCCUUAUACAAUACAAAGAAAUUAAACCUGAAAAGGAUGAUUAAUCUAAGC